AUUGAACGCUGGCGGCAGGCCUAACACAUGCAAGUCGAGCGGAUGAAGGGAGCUUGCUCCUGGAUUCAGCGGCGGACGGGUGAGUAAUGCCUAGGAAUCUGCCUGGUAGUGGGGGAUAACGUCCGGAAACGGGCGCUAAUACCGCAUACGUCCUGAGGGAGAAAGUGGGGGAUCUUCGGACCUCACGCUAUCAGAUGAGCCUAGGUCGGAUUAGCUAGUUGGUGGGGUAAAGGCCUACCAAGGCGACGAUCCGUAACUGGUCUGAGAGGAUGAUCAGUCACUCGGGAACUGAGACACGGGCCAAACUCCUAGGGGAGGGCGGAGUGGGGAAUAUGGGAAAAGGGGCGAAAGCCUGAUCCAGCCAUUCCGGGUGGGUGAAGAAGGUCUUCGGAUUGUAAAGCAUUUUAAGUUGGGGGGAAGGGCAGUAAGUUAAUACCUUGCUGUUUUGACGUUACCAACAGAAUAAGCACCGGCUAACUUCGU
rnacentral:rRNA from 1 species